UUUACUUGACUCUUUUAAUGGAUUGCUUGUUCCGCUGUAGUUAAACUUGAUGUUUGUUAUAUUUUAUCAGUUUAACAUUGUUGAAGGCUAAUGAUAAUUUAUUCUGCAUUAUCUUAGUCAUAAUAUUUCUUACUAGGCUAGUUGAGCUCACCCUUUCUUUCACUAUUCUCUUCAGGAAAUGAGAACGUAGUCGGGACUAGUCGGGGAACGGAGUGACAGUCCAGAUGAUAGUAUUAGUAGUCCUCACUAUUCUGUUAAAUAGUAUGAAAAUAAAUGUAAAGAGGACUCUUUUGAGUGUGGAUAUUGUCUAGAUGACAAUAUUCUUAUUAAACUCUCAGUUUACGUUUUGUCGUAUUUUACACGACAGCUAUAUAAUAAAGUUUGCAUUUGAUUUAUGUACCAAGUAUUUGGCGACUCAAGAUGGGUGAUGUAUACCUAUUUUGGGGGCGUCACAUUUUAAGUGUUGAGUCAUAGAUUUGGCUUUAUCACUUAAAAUGGAAGAAAGGGUAUUUUAGUAACUUCUUAUGUACUAAGGGUACUUUUGUGAUUUCCCAUUCAACCUUGAGGUUAACUUGGUCAUUUAUAUUAUGGAAUUAGACACAUGGCAAAUCUUGGUGAUGAGUCACAAAGAUUUGUGUUUAUCUUUUGUUAAAUGAUAAGUUCAAGGGUAUUUUGGUCUUUUUACCUAUACUAAGGGUAUUUUGGUAAUUUUCCCUAUCACUUGAAGGAUAUUUUGGAGAUCUCAAAUAUAUCCCAUAUAUUUACACUUAAGCUUUUAAUACUUAACAUUUUAAUUCCCAAAUUAAGUUUUUAUAUUUCCGAAACUGAAAUUAGGGUUUCCCGGUAUUCGAUUAGGGUUUCUAAUCCCUAAUUAGGAUUUACUAAGUUUUUACCCUAACCGAUCAAUCACUGAUUAUCAAUUCUAUAUCGUACAAGCAUA
rnacentral:lncRNA from 1 species